AUUGAACGCUGGCGGCAGGCCUAACACAUGCAAGUCGAGCGGAGCGGCGGACGGGUGAGUAAUGCCCAGGAAUCUGCAUGGUAGUGGGGGAUAACGUCCGGAAACGGGCGCUAAUACCGCAUACUAUCAGAUGAGCCUAGGUCGGAUUAGCUAGUUGGUGGGGUAAAGGCCUACCAAGGCGACGAUCCGUAACUGGUCUGAGAGGAUGAUCAGUCAAACUGGAACGAGGACCAGUUCAAGACCCCUAAGUGAGGGAGCAGUGGGGAAUAUUGGACAAUGGGCGAAAGCCUGAUCCAGCCAUGCCGCGUGUGUGAAGAAGGUCUUCGGAUUGUAAAGCACUUUAAGUUGGGAGGCGUUACCAACAGAAUAAGAACCGGUUAACUUCGUGCCAGCAGCCGCGGUAAUA
rnacentral:rRNA from 1 species